AGGCGCCUGUAAUCCCAGCUACUUGGGAAGCUGAGGCAGGAGAAUCGCUUGAACCUGGAAGGCGUAGGUUGUGGUGAGCCGAGAUCGCGCCCUUGCACUCCAGCCUGGGCAACAGAGCGAGACUCUGUCUCAAAAAAAAAAAGAAGAAGAAGAAGAAGAAAUUGACUUCUCACAGUUCUGGAGGCUGGAAAGUCCAGGAUCAAGGUGCCCACAGAUUUGGCGUCUGAAUCCUCCUGACCAGAGCAGCAGAGAGCGGAUCUGUUUGCAGCCUGCCUGUCCCCGCCCUGCCCUCACCUCGCCCUCUUUGACCUUGAGACGGAUUCCUCGAGCCAACGUCUCUUUCCUGGAGCUGGAUGGGGACAAACCCGGGGUCCCUCCCUCUCUUAGGAGUUGAACCACAGUGACCAGGAGCCCAAGAGCGCCGAAGCCCUGUAGUUGCUAUGGAGAUGGGAGCGGGUUUGCAGAGGGAGCUGUGUGAUUAGGUGGCAUUUGCGUCUGUAGAAGGAGGCAACGCAACACCCUCGCCACCCCUGAGAGGUGCUUAUACCUUGGACACUCUUAUGAGAGCUUCCCAGAAAAGCCAGGCUCACAGGGGCAGGAACGGAGAUUCCUCCACACACCUCCACCCUGUCCCUGCCACCAAACACCCAGGUACCCAGGCAAACCGUGGCCAGGGGACAGGUGCCAUCAUGACAUGGGUGAGCUGCCUGCCUGGAGGUUCUCCAAGUCCCUCCUGCUGCCCACCUGUCCAAGCCCCAGAGUGUCCCUAAAUGCCCAGGGAACGCUCAGGGUCCUUUCCAGGGGGCAGUGGCCUAAGAGGCUCAUUCUCCAGCAACCCUCUGCGCCGGGCUGGGUGGUCCCAUUGCCCUGUCUCCAGCCCUCACAACUGUGCAAGCCAAGUAUCAGCCCCAUUUCACAGACGGAGAAGCUGAAGCUCAGAAGGGUCAGCAACCUGUCAGGGCCGGAAUCUGAACCCAGGUCUGCCCGACUCCCAUUUAUGUGCUCUUUCCCUCACACGACCCAGCCCAGCCCAGCUCCAGCCUGGCCCCCUCAGCCUACCCUGGGCUUCCAGCCAGUGACCUUCCCAAAGCACAGAGCUGAGGCUUAGAGAGAGAUGUGGCUGGACAUGCAGAGAGUGAAGCCCUGUGGCCCACAGCUGGAGGUGGGACCCUGCCUGCCACCUCAAGGGGGCUGUGUGUUCUGGGUUGUGUGCUCAAGGCUCUCCCUUGCUUCUCCCCACUACUCCACGAGCUGGCCUUUCUGCUUGAAAAGAGACCCCCAGCCUGGAGCGGGCUCAUGCCUGUAAUCCCAGCACUUUGGGAGGACAAGACAGGCAGAUUACUUGAGGUCAGGAGUUCAAGACCAGCCUGGCCCACAUGGUGAAACCCGGUCUCUACUAAAGAUACAAAAAUUAGCUGGACGUGGUGGCACACGCAGGUAGUCCCAGCUACUCGGGAGGCUAUGGCAGGAGAAUCCCUUAAACCUGGGAGGCGGAGGUCGUAGUGAGCCAAGAUCGUACCAUUGCACUCUAGCCUGGGUGACAGAGCGAGACUCUGUCUCAAAAAAACCAAAAAACAAAAAAGCGGAGGUUAGGCACAGUGGUUUGUGCCUGUAAUCUCAGCACUUUGGGAGGUGGAGGCGGGCGGAUCACAUGAGGUCAGGAGUUUGAGACCAGCCUGGCCAACGUGGAGAAACCCCAUUUCUACUAAAAAUACAAAAAAUUAGGCCGGGCGCGGUAGCCCUCACACCUAAUCCCAGGUGUGAGGUGGGCGGAUCACGGGGUCAGGAGAUCGAGACCAUCCUGGCUAAUAUGGUGAAACCCCGGCCGGGCGCGGUGGCUCACGCCUGUAAUCCCAGCACUUUGGGAGGCCGAGGCGGGUGGUUCACGAGGUCAGGAGAUCGAGACCAUCCCGGCUAAAACGGUGAAACCCCAUCUCUACUAAAAAUACAAAAAAUUAGCCGGGCGUAGUGGCGGGCGCCUGUAGUCCCAGCUACUUGGGAGGCUGAGGCAAGAGAAUGGCGUGAACCCGGGAGGCGGAGC
rnacentral:lncRNA from 1 species